rnacentral:lncRNA from 1 species
GCCUUUUCCUGGUGGUUUGCAGGCAUGGAAGAUUCUUCUGUUCAUCUAAGCUCCUGACUUUAGGCCCUUCUAGAACAUUAGAGAGGAGAAGAAAUCACGUGCAAGGAUUUAGGGACAAGAGGAUGAGGAUUUAUUAGGAGAAAAACCUUCCCGGAAGCUGCAGAAGGACAAAUACAGAAUCCGUGUCUGGGAGAAACCUCGUGGCCUGGUCUCCAUUAUUUGAGAUGAGUUACAUCUUGGAGGUGAGGACGUGCCUCGUGGUCUAAAGCUUCGGCACAAGGGCCCAACUGGAAUUCCACUUACGGAGCUUUACAGAAAUUCCAUGCUGCCUUCAGCUUCCUUUGCCGCUCUGCAUCAUGUUGGCUGGAGUGCAGUGGCGUGAUCAUAGCUCACAACAGCCUCUGUCUGCCAGGCUCAAGGGAUACUCCUGCCUCAGCCUCCUGAGUAGCUGGGACUUGCAGAUUCUAUCGAGUCUCAUCUGGCAGCUUCAAGGAUCAUCCGCAUUCUUUCAUCUUCAUGGAAUGUCACUAGAUUGAGAUGAUUCUAAGGGUGAGGUCAAGCAUUUGGAGUUUGGAACUCUGCCUUUUGUAGAGAUGCUCCCGUGGGACUUGCCCUGCACCCAGUUCAGCUUGCUUGGGAUGCAUCUGCUGAGCCUGGAAGAGAAGUAUGGGUUCAAGGCCAGCGGUCCAGCACUCCCACAGACCUGAUCUGUAAUAGGGAAGGGUUGCCUCUGUGUGGGUUGGGAGUUUAAUCAGCAAGAGUGGAUUAGCAGCAGGCUCAUUCUGUUUACUCCAGUAGGUCACGGGGCCAAGGGCAAACAUACACCCCUCCCAGCCCAGAAACUGAUAGCUGCAAAGUUGCACACCCUUCUCCCCAAAUUGACAAAUAUGGUUUUCAUUGUUGGAGUAAUAAAUUAUGCUUUUUAAGGAUAAAAA